rnacentral:tRNA from 1 species
GACAGAUUAGAGCUUGAUAGAAAGCAUUCCAUUUACACUGGGAAUAUUUACUGUGCGAUUCAGUUUAAUUUGAU